AUGGCAGAUAAUAGUAAAGAAAAAUUAGGCUCAGGAGCAGCCCAUACAAUCAAUCUAGAGACCUUCAGUAGGCGGCUUAACGUGUUUUAUGACCAUUGGAACGAAAAUAAGUCUGAUCUUUGGGCUUCUUCUGAUGCCAUUGCAAUUGCGACUCCGCCUCCUUCUGUGAAAUCCACAGCUCUGGAUGUUUGGUUACUUGGAUAUGAUGAAUUUCCAGAAACCAUAAUUGUCUUCAUGCAGAAGCAGAUACAUUUCUUAUGCAGCCAGAAGAAAGCAAAAUCUCAUUGGAACCAUCAAGGAUGCUGCUGCAAAUGA
rnacentral:rRNA from 1 species